CCAACAGGGAUUGCUCUAGUAACGGCGAGUGAAGCAGCAAUAGCUCAAAUUUGAAAUCUGGCGUCUUCGACGUCAGAGUUGUAAUUUGUAGAGGAUGCUUCUGAGUAACCACCUACCUAAGUUCCUUGGAACAGGACGUCAUAGAGGGUGAGAAUCCCGUAUGCGGUCGGAAAGGUGCUCUAUACGUAGCUCCUUCGACGAGUCGAGUUGUUUGGGAAUGCAGCUCUAAAUGGGAGGUAAAUUUCUUCUAAAGCUAAAUAUUGGCCAGAGACCGAUAGCGCACAAGUAGAGUGAUCGAAAGAUGAAAAGCACUUUGGAAAGAGAGUUAAAAAGCACGUGAAAUUGUUAAAAGGGAAGGGAUUGCAAGCAGACUUGCUCGCGGUGUUCCGCCGGUCUUCUGACCGGUCUACUCGCCGCGUUGCAGGCCAGCAUCGUCUGGUGCCGCUGGAUAAGACUUGAGGAAUGUAGCUCCCUCGGGAGUGUUAUAGCCUCUUGUGAUGCAGCAAGCGCCGGGCGAGGUCCGCGCUUCGGCUAGGAUGCUGGCGUAAUGGUCGUAAUCCGCCC
rnacentral:rRNA from 1 species